rnacentral:rRNA from 1 species
CGUGAGAUGUUGGGUUAAGUCCCGCAACGAGCGCAACCCUUGUCUUCUGUUGCCAUCAGGUUAUGCUGGGCACUCUGAAGAGACUGCCGGUGAUAAACCGGAGGAAGGUGGGGAUGACGUCAAGUCAGCAUGGCCUUUAUGUCUGGGGCUACACACGUGCUACAAUGGCCGGUACAAACCGUCGCGAUACCGCAAGGUGGAGCUAAUCGGAGAAAGCCGGUCUCAGUUCGGAUAGCAGGCUGCAACUCGCCUGCU